AAUCAACGCUGGCGGCGUGCCUAACACAUGCAAGUCGAGCGAGAAAGUGGAGCAAUCCAUGAGUAAAGCGGCGACCGGGUGAGUAACACGUGACUAACCUACCUUCGAGUGGGGAAUAACUCCGGGAAACCGGGGCUAAUACCGCAUAACAUCGAAAGAUCAAAGCAGCAAUGCGCUUGAAGAGGGGGUCGCGGCUGAUUAGCUAGUUGGCGGGGUAAUGGCCCACCAAGGCGAAGAUCGGUAUCCGGCCUGAGAGGGCGCACGGACACACUGGAACUGAAACACGGUCCAGACUCCUACGGGAGGCAGCAGUGGGGAAUUUUGCGCAAUGGGGGAAACCCUGACGCAGCAACGCCGCGUGGAGGAUGAAGCCCCUUGGGCGUAAACUCCUUUCGACCAAGACGAAUAAUGACGGUACUGGUGGAAGAAGCACCGGCUAACUCUGUGCCAGCAGCCGCCGUAA
rnacentral:rRNA from 1 species